rnacentral:rRNA from 1 species
CGGGGUGCACCAGGCGCGAAAACUUUACAAUGCCGGCAACGGCGAUAAGGGAACCUCGAGUGCCAGGUUACAAAUCUGGCUGUCGUGAUGCCUAAAAAGCAUUGCAUAGCAAGGGCCGGGCAAGACCGGUGCCAGCCGCCGCGGUAACACCGGCGGCUCGAGUGGUAACCGUUAUUAUUGGGUCUAAAGGGUCUGUAGCCGGCCGGGUAAGUCUCUUGGGAAAUCUGGCAGCUUAACUGUCAGGCUUUCAGGAGAUACUGCCUGGCUCGAGGCCGGGAGAGGUGAGAGGUACUUCAGGGGUAGGGGUGAAAUCUUGUAAUCCUUGAAGGACCACCAGUGGCGAAGGCGUCUCACCAGAACGGACCUGACGGCAAGGGACGAAAGCUAGGGGCACGAACCGGAUUAGAUACCCGGGUAGUCCUAGCCGUAAACGAUACUCGCUAGGUGUCGGCCACGGUGCGACCGCGGUCGGUGCCGUAGGGAAGCCGUGAAGCGAGCCACCUGGGAAGUACGGCCGCAAGGCUGAAACUUAAAGGAAUUGGCGGGGGAGCACAAGGGCGAAUCGCG